rnacentral:rRNA from 1 species
AUUCCCACAAAUACUCUUAAAUUUUACACCGAAAAAAAAACAAUAAAUAUACUAAUAAUACAAAAACAGAAAUGGAUCACUAUUUAAAAACUAAAAGUAGAGCCCCUCGUACCUCGUGCAUAAUGGAUUUACAAGAACCACCCUUAAAAGACAUCACCCGAAAUCUAAAGGAGCUGAAACUUAGUUGUUAAGAACCCAAUAUUUAGUGUUACAAUACUAUUAUAAAACUAAGUUUUAGAGGCUACAUACCAACCGCAUUAGAUAAUAUCUGGUUUCUAUUAAACUCUGUUUAUCAGAACUUUAUUUAAAAAUAAAAGUAAGUUAUUAUAGGAUAAGCCAUAAUAAUUCUAUCUAUUUUUCUAAAAACUAUAAAGCUAAACGUAGGCCUAAAACCAGCCAUCUAUUAUUGCUUAACCGUUAAAUAAAAUUAAAAAAUAACUAAACCAUUAAAUGAUAUCUCAUAUAUAGAUAAUUACUACAACUUUCUAGUAAACUAAAUCUGUAAAUACAAGUAUUAAAUAAUAUUAAUAAAAGGAACUCGGCAAAUUUUAAAUUCAACUGUUUAUCAAAAACAUUGCUUUUAGAAAAAUAUAUUAAAAGUAUUACUCUGCCCUAUGAUAUAUAUUAUUAAAUGGCCGCGGUACCCUGACCGUGCAAAGGUAGCAUAAUCAUUUGUCCAUUAAUUGUGGACUGGAAUGAAUGGGUUAAUGAAAUUUAAGCUGUCUCUAAUUAACAUUAUAAAAACUAGUCAUUAAGUGAAGAAACUUAAAUUAAAUUGAAAGACAAGAAGACCCUAUAGAGCUUUACUCUAACCUAAAAUAACUAUUUUAGCAACAGUUCGGUUGGGGCGACCAGGGAGCAUCAUCUCUAAACAAACAGAAAAAUAAUUCAUACAAUAUGACCCUUUAAAGAUCAUAAAAUCAAGCUACCUUAGGGAUAACAGGCUAAUUUUCCUACAGAGACCUUAUUAACAGGAAAGAUUGGCACCUCGAUGUUGGCUUAGGAAAUCUAUGUGAUGCAGAAGUCACAUAAAGAAGGUUUGUUCAACCUUUAAUAUCCUACAUGAGCUGAGUUCAGACCGGCGUAAGCCAGGUUAGAUUCUAUCUUCAAUUCAUCAUAAACUUUUAUUUAUAGUACGAAAGGAUCUAAAUAAAUCUUAACAAGACCUAACUCUAAUUUUAAUUACUCUAA